CCUGGCUCAGGAUGAACGCUAGCUACAGGCUUAACACAUGCAAGUCGAGGGGCAGCAUGGUCUUAGCUUGCUAAGACUGAUGGCGACCGGCGCACGGGUGAGUAACACGUAUCCAACCUGCCGUCUACUCUUGGACAGCCUUCUGAAAGGAAGAUUAAUACAAGAUGGCAUCAUGAGUCCGCAUGUUCACAUGAUUAAAGGUAUUCCGGUAGACGAUGGGGAUGCGUUCCAUUAGAUAGUAGGCGGGGUAACGGCCCACCUAGUCUUCGAUGGAUAGGGGUUCUGAGAGGAAGGUCCCCCACAUUGGAACUGAGACACGGUCCAAACUCCUACGGGAGGCAGCAGUGAGGAAUAUUGGUCAAUGGGCGAGAGCCUGAACCAGCCAAGUAGCGUGAAGGAUGACUGCCCUAUGGGUUGUAAACUUCUUUUAUAAAGGAAUAAAGUCGGGUAUGCAUACCCGUUUGCAUGUACUUUAUGAAUAAGGAUCGGCUAACUCCGUGCCAGCAGCCGCGGUAAUACGGAGGAUCCGAGCGUUAUCCGGAUUUAUUGGGUUUAAAGGGAGCGUAGAUGGAUGUUUAAGUCAGUUGUGAAAGUUUGCGGCUCAACCGUAAAAUUGCAGUUGAUACUGGAUAUCUUGAGUGCAGUUGAGGCAGGCGGAAUUCGUGGUGUAGCGGUGAAAUGCUUAGAUAUCACGAAGAACUCCGAUUGCGAAGGCAGCCUGCUAAGCUGCAACUGACAUUGAGGCUCGAAAGUGUGGGUAUCAAACAGGAUUAGAUACCCUGGUAGUCCACACGGUAAACGAUGAAUACUCGCUGUUUGCGAUAUACUGCAAGCGGCCAAGCGAAAGCGUUAAGUAUUCCACCUGGGGAGUACGCCGGCAACGGUGAAACUCAAAGGAAUUGACGGGGGCCCGCACAAGCGGAGGAACAUGUGGUUUAAUUCGAUGAUACGCGAGGAACCUUACCCGGGCUUAAAUUGCAGAUGAAUUACGGUGAAAGCCGUAAGCCGCAAGGCAUCUGUGAAGGUGCUGCAUGGUUGUCGUCAGCUCGUGCCGUGAGGUGUCGGCUUAAGUGCCAUAACGAGCGCAACCCUUGUUGUCAGUUACUAACAGGUUCCGCUGAGGACUCUGACAAGACUGCCAUCGUAAGAUGUGAGGAAGGUGGGGAUGACGUCAAAUCAGCACGGCCCUUACGUCCGGGGCUACACACGUGUUACAAUGGGGGGUACAGAGGGCCGCUACCACGCGAGUGGAUGCCAAUCCCCAAAACCUCUCUCAGUUCGGACUGGAGUCUGCAACCCGACUCCACGAAGCUGGAUUCGCUAGUAAUCGCGCAUCAGCCACGGCGCGGUGAAUACGUUCCCGGGCCUUGCACACACCGCCCG
rnacentral:rRNA from 1 species